UACGUAGGGUGCAAGCGUUAAUCGGAAUUACUGGGCGUAAAGCGUGCGCAGGCGGUUUUGUAAGUCUGUCGUGAAAGCCCCGGGCUCAACCUGGGAAUUGCGAUGGAGACUGCAAGGCUUGAAUCUGGCAGAGGGGGGUAGAAUUCCACGUGUAGCAGUGAAAUGCGUAGAGAUGUGGAGGAACACCGAUGGCGAAGGCAGCCCCCUGGGUCAAGAUUGACGCUCAUGCACGAAAGCGUGGGGAGCAAAUAGG
rnacentral:rRNA from 1 species